GAUGAACGCUGGCGGCGUGCCUAAUACAUGCAAGUCGAGCGAACGGACGAGAAUCUUUCUUUUCUUAUGUUAGCGGCGGACGGGUGAGUAACACGUGGAUAACCUACCUAUUAUACUUGUAUAACUUCGUGAAACCGGAGCUCAUACCGUAUAAUAUUUUGAACCUCAUGUUUCAUUAGUGUAUUACGGUCUUUCUGUCUCUUAUAGAUUUAUCCGCGCUUCAUUAGCUAGUUGGUAAGGUAAAGGCUUACCAAGGCAACGAUGCAUAGCCGACCUGAGAGGGUGAUCGGCCAAACGGGAAGUGAGACACGGACAAGAGGACGACGGGAGGAAGCAGUAGGGAAGAUUACGCAAUGGGCGAAAGCAUGACGGAGCAAAGCCGCGUGAGUGAUGAAGGUCUACGGAUCGUAAAACUCUGUUAUUAGGGAAGAAAAAAUGUGUAAGUAAAUGUGAACAGAAUGACGGGACCUAAACAGAAAGCAACGGCUAACUACGUG
rnacentral:rRNA from 1 species